UAGAAAUGGGAGUUGGGGUACGAACAAGGGCGAACAGAGGCAAUUUUGGGAUUUUGGAAAUUUUCAAGGGCAAAUUGGGGAGUCUAAUGCUUCAAUAGAUUUCACAAAUUUGGUCUCAUCUAGACUCUUCAUCUUCUUCUUCCUGAUAGACUCGAAAAUUGCUUCUCUUUCUCACUUUCCCUGUGUUUUUUUGUACUUCUUCCUUUUUUGUUUUAUAUCUGCAUCUCUAUUUAGUAUUUAGUCAUUUAUGGUUACUUUUGAGUCCUCAAGUGUUGCAUCUUGAUGUGGACCAAAUAAUUGAAGGUAUCAAACUGCGGAUUGGAUUUUCCUUUUUGAAUUCAAUGAGAAGAAACUACUGGACUCUGCUCUCUCUUCUACCCCUUUUCAAGAUGUCUUGGAGUAGGUGCUGCUUGGAAAACAGCAAAUGUGGAACCAGGUUCAACAGUAGCGAUCUUUGGUUUGGGUGCAAUUGGGUUGCAGAGGGAGCAAGGCUAUGUGGUCCCACCAGAAUUAUCAGCGUAGAUAUAAACUCGGACAAGUUUGAAAUAGGGAAGCAAUUUGGAAUUACUGAGUUUGUCAAUUCCAAAAGCUGUGGGGACAAACCUGUUAGUCAGGUGAUAAUUGAGAUGACUAAUGGAGGUGCUGACUAUUGCUUUGAAUGUGUUGGUCUGGCAACACUUGUGCUGGAAGCAUUUGCCUGCUGCAAAUGCAGCAAGUAGAUGUUGGCUUCAAGUCAAUUUUGGGCAAAGAGAAAUCAACAAUUGUGCAUAGAAAGAAGGUGAGUGAGAAAGGAAGAGACAGUAGUAGUAGAAGCUAAAAGGUGAUGAAAUUAGAUGACAAGAAAGGCGCUCAAUAAGUGGGAUAAAAAAAAAACAGUACACGUGGUUAUGGAUAAAAUGUAAAAAUGCCCAUGACAAACAAUAUAAAUUACCACUUUGCCUGUGUUCGUCCCACUUUGUUUUCUUGCAGUCAUUUUGCUGAAAAUCAGAGAUAAAAAUAGAUCAAAUGGGAUCAGCGAAAGCUUGCAGCACAACUUGCUGCCUUUUCUAAAGGAAGCUACAUUGCCUGAAUUUGACCUGGUUAAUUUUCGCACUACAUAUCUAUUGUUUUCUCAAUUGUUGGGAAUGAAAUUACAUAGGGUGAUUUGGGCAUAGAUGGACUCUUACCCUCUGUUUGGAUAGUUGUUUCCCGUGGCUCAUUAAUGUACAGUAUGGUAUGGUACAGUAUGGUGUUGUAUUGUAUUAUACUGUAUUAAUGAACACAAUCUUUUAAGAUGUGAAAGAAAAGAUUGUCUUGGAGUGUUUGGGCCAUUCUUGAUUGCUGUUUGGUUCUUGGGUUUAUGUCUUGAUAAAAAUGUGGACCUUUGCAAAAUUUUGGAUUGCUACUGUGUAUCGACCCUUUUGGGAGUCAAAAGCUUGAUGAUUUCUAGAGUCUAUGGAUAAUUAGGGCUUUUCGUCGAGUUAUCGAUUUGUGACCUCUUCUGCUUGGACCAGAGGGUGGUAUUCUGCGUUUGACCAGAAAAUGACGACAAUUACUAUUACUCAUGCUGCUCCCACUUCUUGCACAGUUGCAGCCAUUAAUAUGACCAUCUUCACAACAAUGGAGGAGGAUACGCAAAGUUUAUGAACUAAGCUGGCCAUGCAAUAUAUUUACUGAUGGAGUGUGUGUUCGUUUGGUUGUUUUGUCUUUGGGUAUGUGAAGGGAAAGCAUUUAUAUGUAGUCGUGUUUAAUUUGUAUAUAUAAUAAUGAUAACGUUUUGAAAGGAUUUAAAAAACAGAUUAUAUUUUAUUUACAAUAUUUUGCUUUAGUUUCAAGAGUAAAGCGGUCAGCAUGGGCUUGGGAGUUACUUAUUGAAUGGUCAUUCUAAGUUUGAAGUUGAAGAUGGAGUUGUGUUUGGUUAUAGUUUUUGCAAAUGUAGCUAUAUCUUCUUUUCUGGGUUGAA